rnacentral:rRNA from 1 species
GACGAACCGUGCGAACGUUGUUCGGAAUCACUGGGCUUAAAGGGCGCGUAGGCGGGCCCCCUUGUCCGGGGUGAAAGCUUUCGGCUUAACCGGAAAAGUGCCCCGGAAACGGGGGGCCUGGAGGGAGGUAGGGGCAGCCGGAACUUCCGGUGGAGCGGUGAAAUGCGCAGAUAUCAGGAAGAACACCCGUGGCGAAGGCGGCUCUCUGGGACGGUACUGACGCUGAGACGCGAAAGCGUGGGGAGCGAACAGG